rnacentral:rRNA from 1 species
AGAGUUUGAUCCUGGCUCAGGAUGAACGCUAGCUACAGGCUUAACACAUGCAAGUCGAGGGGCAGCAUCAUCAAAGCUUGCUUUGAUGGAUGGCGACCGGCGCACGGGUGAGUAACACGUAUCCAACCUGCCGACAACACUGGGAUAGCCUUUCGAAAGAAAGAUUAAUACCGGAUGGCAUAGUUUUCCCGCAUGGGAUAAUUAUUAAAGAAUUUCGGUUGUCGAUGGGGAUGCGUUCCAUUAGGCAGUUGACGGGGUAACGGCCCACCAAACCAACGAUGGAUAGGGGUUCUGAGAGGAAGGUCCCCCACAUUGGAACUGAGACACGGUCCAAACUCCUACGGGAGGCAGCAGUGAGGAAUAUUGGUCAAUGGACGAGAGUCUGAACCAGCCAAGUAGCGUGAAGGAUGACUGCCCUAUGGGUUGUAAACUUCUUUUAUACGGGAAUAAAGUUAGCCACGUGUGGCUUUUUGUAUGUACCGUAUGAAUAAGGAUCGGCUAACUCCGUGCCAGCAGCCGCGGUAAUACGGAGGAUCCGAGCGUUAUCCGGAUUUAUUGGGUUUAAAGGGAGCGUAGGCGGGUGCUUAAGUCAGUUGUGAAAGUUUGCGGCUCAACCGUAAAAUUGCAGUUGAUACUGGGCGCCUUGAGUGCAGCAUAGGUAGGCGGAAUUCGUGGUGUAGCGGUGAAAUGCUUAGAUAUCACGAAGAACUCCGAUUGCGAAGGCAGCUUACUGGACUGUAACUGACGCUGAUGCUCGAAAGUGUGGGUAUCAAACAGGAUUAGAUACCCUGGUAGUCCACACAGUAAACGAUGAAUACUCGCUGUUGGCGAUACACAGUCAGCGGCCAAGCGAAAGCAUUAAGUAUUCCACCUGGGGAGUACGCCGGCAACGGUGAAACUCAAAGGAAUUGACGGGGGCCCGCACAAGCGGAGGAACAUGUGGUUUAAUUCGAUGAUACGCGAGGAACCUUACCCGGGCUUAAAUUGCAGCGGAAUGUAGUGGAAACAUUACAGCCUUCGGGCCGCUGUGAAGGUGCUGCAUGGUUGUCGUCAGCUCGUGCCGUGAGGUGUCGGCUUAAGUGCCAUAACGAGCGCAACCCUUAUCUAUAGUUACUAUCAGGUCAUGCUGAGGACUCUAUGGAGACUGCCGUCGUAAGAUGUGAGGAAGGUGGGGAUGACGUCAAAUCAGCACGGCCCUUACGUCCGGGGCUACACACGUGUUACAAUGGGGGGUACAGAAGGCAGCUACCUGGCGACAGGAUGCUAAUCCCAAAAACCUCUCUCAGUUCGGAUUGGAGUCUGCAACCCGACUCCAUGAAGCUGGAUUCGCUAGUAAUCGCGCAUCAGCCACGGCGCGGUGAAUACGUUCCCGGGCCUUGUACACACCGCCCGUCA